UGAGUAACACGUAUGCAACCUGCCUGCCACAGCCGGAUAAUCGGGAGAAAUUCCGUCUAAUACGGCAUAAUGCAUCGACGGGACAUCCUGUUGGUGCCAAAGGUUAAUUCCGGUGGCGGAUGGGCAUGCGUCGCAUUAGUUAGUUGGCGGUGUAACGGACCACCAAGACGGCGAUGCGUAGGGGUUCUGAGAGGAAGGUCCCCCACACUGGUACUGAGACACGGACCAGACUCCUACGGGAGGCAGCAG
rnacentral:rRNA from 1 species